AUGCACGCUGGCGGCGUGCCUAAUACAUGCAAGUCGAGCGAACGGACGAGAAGCUUGCUUCUCUGAUGUUAGCGGCGGACGGGUGAGUAACACGUGGAUAACCUACCUAUAAGACUGGGAUAACUUCGGGAAACCGGAGCUAAUACCGGAUAAUAUUUUGAACCGCAUGGUUCAAAAGUGAAAGACGGUCUUGCUGUCACUUAUAGAUGGAUCCGCGCUGCAUUAGCUAGUUGGUAAGGUAACGGCUUACCAAGGCAACGAUGCAUAGCCGACCUGAGAGGGUGAUCGGCCACACUGGAACUGAGACACGGUCCAGACUCCUACGGGAGGCAGCAGUAGGGAAUCUUCCGCAAUGGGCGAAAGCCUGACGGAGCAACGCCGCGUGAGUGACGAAGGUCUUCGGAUCGUAAAACUCUGUUAUUAGGGAAGAACAUAUGUGUAAGUAACUGUGCACAUCUUGACGGUACCUAAUCAGAAAGCCACGGCUAACUACGUG
rnacentral:rRNA from 1 species